rnacentral:rRNA from 1 species
AAGCCCGAAGGCGCAAUGAAAGUGAACCGUAGGCGGGAUCCCAAGUUUUCGCGCGAGAGCGCGACGGGGCGCACCGCCGGCCCGUCUCGUUUGGUCGGCCCUUCGUUAUUUUCUUUCGUUCCCGCCCCUCUCCCUCGGGAAGGGGCGGUUCGGGGGAAAUGUUGGGUCGACGGAGGCGGAGCGAGAGCGUACACGUUAGGACCCGAAAGACGGUGAACUAUUCCCGGACAGGACGAAGCCGGAGGAAACUCCGGUGGAGGUCCGUAGCGAUUCUGACGUGCAAAUCGAUCGUCGGAUCCGGGUAUAGGGGCGAAAGACUAAUCGAACCGUCUA